AUACGUAGGGUGCAAGCGUUAAUCGGAAUUACUGGGCGUAAAGCGUGCGCAGGCGGGUUUGGAAGACAGAGGUGAAAUCCCCGGGCUCCACCUGGGAACUGCCAUUGUGACUGCAAGGCUGGAGGGCGGCCGAGGGGGAUGGAAUUCCGGGUGGAGCAGUGAAAUGCGUAGAUAUGCGGAGGAACACCGAUGGCGAAGGCAAUCCCCUGGGCCUGCACUGACGCUCAUGCACGAAAGCGUGGGGAGCAAACAGGAUUAGAUACCCUGGUAGUCCACGCCCUAAACGAUGUCAACUGGUUGUUGGGGAUUUAUUUUCUCAGUAACGAAGCUAACGCGUGAAGUUGACCGCCUGGGGAGUACGGCCGCAAGGUUAAAACUCAAAGGAAUUGACGGGG
rnacentral:rRNA from 1 species